GGACGAAUAGCUCCAAUGGUAGAGCAUUGCGUUGAAGCCGCAGUUGUGCAGGUUCGAGUCCUGCUUCGUCCA
rnacentral:tRNA from 1 species